GGGCAGUUGGCUGAGAGGCCGAAAGCGCCGCGCUGUAGACGCGGUAUCCCUUUGGGAUCUCCGAGGUUCGAAUCCUUGACUGCCCAGCA
rnacentral:tRNA from 1 species